rnacentral:tRNA from 1 species
GGGCGGAUAGCCGAGCGGUUUAAGGCACUGGUCUUGAAAACCAGCGAGGUAGCGAUACCACCGUGGGUUCGAACCCCACUCCGCCCG